rnacentral:rRNA from 1 species
UACGAACGGUCCAAACGUUAUUCGGAAUCACUGGCUUAAAGCGUCCGUAGGCGGCUCGGAAAGUAGGGUGUGAAAUCCCACGGCUCAACCGUGGAUUGCGCUCUAACUAUCGAGCUAGAGGGAGAUAGAGUGAGCGGAACUGAUGUGGAGCGGUGAAAUGCGUGAUAUCAUCAGGACACGGAGGCGAAGCGCUCACUGGUCUUUCUGACGCUGAGGACGAAGCUAGGGAGCGAACGG